GGGUGAGUAACGCGUGAGGAACCUGCCUCAAAGAGGGGGACAACAGUUGGAAACGACUGCUAAUACCGCAUAAGCCCACGGGUCGGCAUCGACCAGAGGGAAAAGGAGCAAUCCGCUUUGAGAUGGCCUCGCGUCCGAUUAGCUAGUUGGUGAGGUAACGGCCCACCAAGGCGACGAUCGGUAGCCGGACUGAGAGGUUGAACGGCCACAUUGGGACUGAGACACGGCCCAGACUCCUACGGGAGGCAGCAGUGGGGAAUAUUGCACAAUGGGGGAAACCCUGAUGCAGCGACGCCGCGUGGAGGAAGAAGGUCUUCGGAUUGUAAACUCCUGUUGUUGAGGAAGAUAAUGACGGUACUCAACAAGGAAGUGACGGCUAACUACGUGCCAGCAGCCGCGGUAAAACGUAGGUCACAAGCGUUGUCCGGAAUUACUGGGUGUAAAGGGAGCGCAGGCGGGAAGACAAGUUGGAAGUGAAAUCCAUGGGCUCAACCCAUGAACUGCUUUCAAAACUGUUUUUCUUGAGUAGUGCAGAGGUAGGCGGAAUUCCCGGUGUAGCGGUGGAAUGCGUAGAUAUCGGGAGGAACACCAGUGGCGAAGGCGGCCUACUGGGCACCAACUGACGCUGAGGCUCGAAAGUGUGGGUAGCAAACAGGAUUAGAUACCCUGGUAGUCCACACCGUAAACGAUGAUUACUAGGUGUUGGAGGAUUGACCCCUUCAGUGCCGCAG
rnacentral:rRNA from 1 species